rnacentral:lncRNA from 1 species
AUGGAAUUUUUCGUUUCUUCGUUUGGCGACAAAGUUAUUCCAUUCAUCGGCUGAAAUAAUCUCGGCAUACUUCAUUGGCCGUUCUGCUUCAACAAAUUUUCCUUCCUCAUCCUUGAGAAAUUCGUGCGACAAAAAGGAUCGAAAUCCUCGGAGUCUUUUCCGGCCAAUUGAAUACAAUAUUUUUGCCGGCUUUCAUCGAUGUGAAAGGAUCUCUAAAAAACAUACACAUGGAGUGUGUUAUUAUAAAGUAAUAUUAUAACAAUAUAUGGUCAACAAAAUAGUCACAAAAAAAACAUAUACAAUAUAUGUGUAAGUACCUGUAUCUCCGACCAUAUUUUUU